AGUGAACGCUGGCGGUAGGCCUAACACAUGCAAGUCGAACGGCAGCACAGUAAGCUUUUGCCCUUACGGGUGGCGAGUGGCGGACGGGUGAGAAAUACAUCGGAAUCUACUUUUUCGUGGGGGAUAUCGUAGGGACACUUACGAUAAUACCGAAUACGUCCUACGGGUGAAAGCAGGGGAUCUUCGGACCUUUCGCGUUUGAAUGAGCCGAUGUCGCAUUAGCUAGUUGGCGAGGUAACGGCCCACCAAGGCAACGAUGCAUAGCCGACAUGAGAGGAUGAUCGGCCACACUGGAACUGAGACACGGUCCAGACUACUACGGGAGGUAGCAGUAGGGAAUCUUCCGCAAUGGGCGAAAGCCUGACGGAGCAACGCAGCGUGAGUGAUGAAGGUCUUCGGAUCGUAAAACUCUGUUAUUAGGGAAGAACAUAUGUGUAAGUAACUGUGCACAGCUUGACGGUACCUAAUCAGAAAGCCACGGCUAACUACGUG
rnacentral:rRNA from 1 species